rnacentral:rRNA from 1 species
UACGUAGGGGGCAAGCGUUGUUCGGAAUUACUGGGCGUAAAGGGCGCGUAGGCGGCCUUCUAAGUCGAACGUGAAAUCCCUGGGCUCAACCCAGGAACUGCGUCCGAUACUGGAAGGCUUGAAUCCGGGAGAGGGAUGCGGAAUUCCAGGUGUAGCGGUGAAAUGCGUAGAUAUGCGGAGGAACACCGAUGGCGAAGGCAAUCCCCUGGGCCUGCACUGACGCUCAUGCACGAAAGCGUGGGGAGCAAACAGG